rnacentral:rRNA from 1 species
UACGGAGGGUGCAAACGUUGCUCGGAAUUAUUGGGCGUAAAGCGUACGUAGGCGGUCCAGCAAGUCGGGUGUGAAAGCCCUUGGCUUAACCAAGGAAGUGCAUUCGAAACUACUGGACUUGAAUACUGGAGAGGAUCGCGGAAUUCCCGGUGUAGAGGUGAAAUUCGUAGAUAUCGGGAGGAACACCAGUGGCGAAGGCGGCCGAUC